GACGAACGCUGGCGGCGUGCCUAAUACAUGCAAGUCGAGCGGACUAAUGGGAGCUUGCUCCCGUUAGUUAGCGGCGGACGGGUGAGUAACACGUGGGCAACCUACCUGUAAGACUGGGAUAACUUCGGGAAACCGGAGCUAAUACCGGAUGACAUAAAGGAACUCCUGUUCCUUUAUUGAAAGAUGGCUUCGGCUAUCACUUACAGAUGGGCCCGCGGCGCAUUAGCUAGUUGGUGAGGUAACGGCUCACCAAGGCGACGAUGCGUAGCCGACCUGGGAGGGUGAUCGGCCACACUGGGACUGAGACACGGCCCAGACUCCUACGGGAGGCAGCAGUAGGGAAUCUGCCGCAAUGGACGAAAGUCUGACGGAGCAACGCCGCGUGAGCGAUGAAGGCCUUCGGGUCGUAAAGCUCUGUUGUUAGGGAAGAAUAAGUGCUAGUUGAAUAAGCUGGCACCUUGACGGUACCUAACCAGAAAGCCACGGCUAACUACGUGCCAGCCGCCGCCGUAA
rnacentral:rRNA from 1 species